CAGUCGCCGCGGUAAUACGAAGGGUGCAAGCGUUACUCGGAAUUACUGGGCGUAAAGCGUGCGUAGGUGGUGGUUUAAGUCCGUUGUGAAAGCUUUGGGCUCAACCUGGGAAUUGCAGUGGAUACUGGGUCACUAGAGUGUGGUAGAGGAUAGUGGAAUUUCCGGUGUAGCAGUGAAAUGCGUAGAGAUCGGAAGGAACAUCUGUGGCGAAGGCGACUAUCUGGGCCAACACUGACACUGAGGCACGAAAGCGUGGGGAGCAAACAGGAUUAGAUACCCCUGUAGUCCCUGUCUCUUAUAC
rnacentral:rRNA from 1 species